rnacentral:rRNA from 1 species
UAUUUUCGUGUUGCCUUUUUAGCCGCGACGAAGUGAAGCGGCAAGAGCUCAGAUUUGAAAUCGUGUUUCGGCACGAGUUGUAGAGUGUAGGCGGGAGUCUCUGUGGAGCGCGGUGUCCAAGUCCCUUGGAACAGGGUGCCUGAGAGGGUGAGAGCCCCGUGGGGUGCUGCGCGAAGCUUUGAGGCCCUGCUGACGAGUCGAGUUGUUUGGGAAUGCAGCUCUAAGCGGGUGGUAAAUUCCAUCUAAGGCUAAAUACUGGCGAGAGACCGAUAGCGAACAAGUACUGUGAAGGAAAGAUGAAAAGCACUUUGAAAAGAGAGUGAAACAGCACGUGAAAUUGUUGAAAGGGAAGGGUAUUGGGCCCGACAUGGGGAGUGCGCACCGCUGUCUCUUGUAGGCGGCGCUCUGGGCGCUCUCUGGGCCAGCAUCGGUUCUUGCUGCGAGAGAAGUGGCGCCGGAAAGUGGCUCUUCGGAGUGUUAUAGCCGGUGCCGGAUGUCGCGUGCGGGGACCGAGGGCUGCGACAUCUGUCUCGGAUGCUGGCACAACGGCGCAAUACCGCCCGUCUUGAAACACGGAC